rnacentral:lncRNA from 1 species
CACUAUUAAUAAUGGUCGACUUAUCUCUUUUAUAUAUUUUUUUUAUUCUUAUGCCUAAGUUAGGCGUAAACUUAGCACCUUCUCCUAUUUCUUCUUCCUUCUCUACUCCACCUCAGUAAGUCAGUAUUUAGCCAGCUUACAGCUUUAUUAUACUAGCUCUAAGUAGUGCAGCAGCAAUCACUACAGCAACACGUGAGUACUGGAGUAACCGAACAACAGUAAACAAGACAAUCACCGCAGUAUCGAGCACAAUAAGGCCUUUAGAUGCUAAAAGUUUUUAAAGUUUAACACCGUAGCACUUUCGUUUAUAUCUGAUAAUUUUUGUUCAACUAUAGUGUGGGGGUAUAAACCCCUAUACCCUCAUGGGCCUAUAUGGGCCGCACCAUCAGAGGUGGCUCGGCCCAUAGGAUGAAGACGUGCGGCGCACGACUAGUCGGCAUGCACCGCAAGGCUACAAGAUAGUGUACCAAAUAUGAUACUUUGUUUGUAACUCUGUCCCUUCAGGAUAUAUAAGGAGGGGCAGGGGUCCCCUAGAGG